rfam:Caenorhabditis remanei strain PB4641 contig19.17, whole genome shotgun sequence.
CUGACACGUGAUUAGCGAUCCUCUUCGGGGUUGAUUGCUUUUCUUAGUGGAACAUCGAGGGCUUUUAGUAAAGUUGACCUCGGUCCACCGUGUCGAAAAUCAACAGUCUGUGUGGCCCUCUACCGCUACUUGAGAUGCCCGGGCUGAAUUGCAUAUUCCUUAUCCUUCCGUAGGCCCUAUGGGCCAUUGACGGUUAGGAAAAACCAUGCAAAUUACACCU